AGCAGGCUGUGCAUGUAUUAACUUCCUUCCUCCAGUACUAAUAAGCUGUGCAAAUACAUGUUCUUGGCAAAACGUUUUACUGCAGUUAAUUAAAAAAUACCCUCCCCCAGCAGCUUUUCAAAUUAUGUGAACUGCUUUAAGAAAAUCACAGCUAGGUUUGCUUCACUGUUAAAAGUGCUACCAGAAGCAGAGGGCACGAAAGAGGAAAGGAAAGGCCAGCCAAAGCUGCUGCAGGAGUUACAGAGUAAGGAUGUUUCCGAGGUCUGGGAACAGAAUUGCAGCAAGGAAAGCAGUACUUGGUAUCUCAAUCUGAUCAAGAGUGACUGAAAACCAGAUUCAAACCCAGCGAUAUCGCUAAAUCAGUGUAAACCUGAUGGACACCAUGCAACCUGCCUAACAGCCAUCAGCUAUGGC